rnacentral:rRNA from 1 species
CCUACGGGUGGCAGCAGUGGGGAAUAUUGCACAAUGGGGGAAAGCCUGAUGCAGCGACGCCGCGUGAGGGAAGAAGGAUUUCGGGAUGUAAAGCUCUAUCAGCAGGGGAGAAAAUGAAGGUACCUGAGUAAGAAGCCACGGCGAACUACGUGCCAGCAGCCGCGGUAACACGUAGGGGGCAAGCGUUAUCCGGAUUUACUGGGUGUAAAGGGAGCGUAGACGGUGAUGCAAGUCAGAAGUGAAAGCUCGGGGCUCAACGCCGGUAUUGCUGUUGAAACUGGUGGACUGGAGUGCAGGUGAGGUAAGCGGAAUGCGUGGUGUAGCGGUGAAAUGCGUAGAUAUCAGGAGGAACACCAGUGGCGAAGGCAGCUUACUGGACUGUAACUGACGUUGAGGCUCGAAAGCGUGGGGAGCAAACAGGAUUAGAUACCCUUGUAGUC